UUUUUUUUUCUUUCUGUUUUUAAUGAGUCCCAGAAGCAGGAAGCCGUGUGUUUUGCACAGCGCCGGAGAUGUUAAACGCUUCAGGCUCUGAAUAUGAUGUUAAAAAUGGACAUGAUCCUGUUUCACUGCUGCCAGUUUGAAGUCGUGUUCACGUAUCUGUUCCUCCCCAUUAUGGACGCCCAGCUUUUACGGGAAGGAUAGAGAGAGAGCGGAAGAUUUAUGGAAGGAUGUGGGGUGAGGACGGUUUGUGGAAAACAGGAAACCCAUAACUCCACUCAGAAGUGCAGUUAGACAAAAUGUGUUUAUACGCUUUACUUUUAGACCAAUCAGCCUCAGCCAAUCAUGUGAUCUUUGCAUGUGAUUGGUAGGAGGGACGGAUCAGAACAGACCAAACGUGAAUCGUCAAGCUCUACAGGGACCAAUUGUAAUGCCUUAUCACACAAAUCAACCAAUGGGGUGUUUUUAUUCUGAUUAAGUGGAUUCUAAAGACUCUUUUACAGCCCCACCGUGUGUUUCUCUUUAUAUUGAAU